UACAGAGGGGGCAAGCGUUGUUCGGAAUUACUGGGCGUAAAGGGCGCGUAGGCGGCCUGUUAAGUCGAACGUGAAAUCCCCGGGCUCAACCCGGGAACUGCGUCCGAUACUGGCAGGCUUGAAUUCGGGAGAGGGAUGUGGAAUUCCAGGUGUAGCGGUGAAAUGCGUAGAUAUCUGGAGGAACACCGGUGGCGAAGGCGGCAUCCUGGACCGAUAUUGACGCUGAUGCGCAAAAGCCAGGGGAGCAAACGGG
rnacentral:rRNA from 1 species